rnacentral:rRNA from 1 species
UCCGAAGGUCCCAAGCGUUAUCCGGAUUUAUUGGGUUUAAAGGGUGCGUAGGCGGGUUAUUAAGUCAGUGGUGAAAGCCUUCAGCUUAACUGAAGAACUGCCAUUGAUACUGAUGAUCUUGAGUAUGAUUGAGGUGGGCGGAAUGUGUCAUGUAGCGGUGAAAUGCAUAGAUAUGACUUAGAACACCAAUUGCGAAGGCAGCUUGCUAAACAAAUAUUGACGCUGAGGCACGAAAGCGUGGGGAUCAAACAGG